UACGAAGGGGGCUAGCGUUGUUCGGAAUUACUGGGCGUAAAGCGCGCGUAGGCGGUGAUCUUUGUCAGAGGUGAAAGCCCGGGGCUCAACCCGGGAACUGCGUCCGAUACUGGCAGGCUUGAAUCCGGGAGAGGGAUGUGGAAUUCCAGGUGUAGCGGUGAAAUGCGUAGAUAUCUGGAGGAACACCGGUGGCGAAGGCGGCAUCCUGGACCGGUAUUGACGCUGAUGCGCGAAAGCCAGGGGAGCAAACGGG
rnacentral:rRNA from 1 species